AUUGAACGCUGGCGGCAUGCUUUACACAUGCAAGUCGAACGGAAACAGGCCGCAAGGUGCUGACGAGUGGCGAACGGGUGAGUAAUGCAUCGGAACGUGCCCAGUCGUGGGGGAUAACGCAGCGAAAGCUGUGCUAAUACCGCAUACGAUCUAUGGAUGAAAGCGGGGGACCGUAAGGCCUCGCGCGAUUGGAGCGGCCGAUGUCAGAUUAGGUAGUUGGUGGGGUAAAGGCUCACCAAGCCGACGAUCUGUAGCUGGUCUGAGAGGACGAGCAUCCACACUGGGACUGGUACACUGCCCAGACUCCUACGGGAGGCAGCAGUGGGGAAUUUUGGGCAAUGGGCGCAAGCCUGAUCCAGCAAUGCCGCGUGCAGGAUGAAGGCCUUCGGGUUGUAAACUGCUUUUGUACGGAGCGAAAAGGCUUCCACUAAUACUGGGGGCUCAUGACGGUACCGUAAGAAUAAGCACCGGCUAACUACGUGCCAGCAGCCGCGGUAA
rnacentral:rRNA from 1 species